rnacentral:rRNA from 1 species
AUUGAACGCUGGCGGCAGGCCUAACACAUGCAAGUCGAACGAGUGGCGGACGGGUGAGUAAUGCAUGGGAAUCUAGCUGAUGGAGGGGGAUAACUACGGGAAACGGUAGCUAAUACCGCGUACCAUAGGAUGAGCCCAAGUGGGAUUAGCUAGUUGGUGGGGUAAAGGCUCACCUAGCCGACGAUCUCUAGCUGGUCUGAGAGGAUGACCAGCCACACUGGGACUGAGACACGGCCCAGACUCCUACGGGAGGCAGCAGUGGGGAAUAUUGCACAAUGGGGGCAAGCCUGACGCAGCCAUGCCGCGUGAAUGAAGAAGGCCUUCGGGUUGUAAAGUUCUUUCAGUGGGGAGGCGUUAACUGCAGAAGAAGCACCGGCUAACUCCGUGCCAGCAGCCGCGGUAAUAC